GAUGAACGCUGGCGGCGUGCCUAAUACAUGCCAGUCGAGCGAACGGACGAGAAGCUUGCUUCUCUGAUGUUAGCGGCGGACGGGUGAGUAACACGUGGAUAACCUACCUAUAAGACUGGGAUAACUUCGGGAAACCGUAGCUAAUACCGGAUAAUAUUUUGAACCGCAUGGUUCAAAAGUGAAAGACGGUCUUGCUGUCACUUAUAGAUGGAUCCGCGCUGCAUUAGCUAGUUGGUAAGGUAACGGCUUACCAAGGCAACGAUGCAUAGCCGACCUGAGAGGGUGAUCGGCCACACUGGAACGGAGACACGGUCCAGACUCCUACGGGAGGCAGCAGUAGGGAAUCUUCCGCAAUGGGCGAAAGCCUGACGGAGCAACGCCGCGUGAGUGAUGAAGGUCUUCGGAUCGUAAAACUCUGUUAUUAGGGAAGAACAUAUGUGUAAGUAACUGUGCACAUCUUGACGGUACCUAAUCAGAAAGCCACGGCUAACUACGUG
rnacentral:rRNA from 1 species